GAAAGAGAAAUGAAAAAAGAAAGAAAGAAAGAAAGUUGGUGCUAACUUCAGCUACAGCUUUCACAUCACUGGCCAGAACCGUGUUGUACGGCCACUCCUAACUGCAGGGAAGGGAAAUGCAGUUCUUCAGUGGACCCACUGCUGCGCUAAAAAAAUGAGAUAUUUGCUUUCUGUUGGAAAGAAAUGGAGCUGGAUCUUGGGAAGACAAUUACAGCAGGCAUGUACAAAUAAUGCACUCAGAAGUACGCUCUUUUGCCCAUGAAGAAUAUGGACUUUCUGCACUGGCAUGCAGGUACGUAAACGGCUGCAUCUUCUUACAGCCUAACAAGCUGCACUUCCACCCGAACCAGAAGAGGAAAGUCUGAAAGUGUCUCCUAAUUAACAGCCGCGGUUGUAUAACUGAGUCCCGCGAGAUGCGUCCUUGGAGUUUGUGGAGAGUUAUCCCGUCCCCUUGACAAAGGCUAUGUGCUUCUAAAACUGAGAGAUCCAGUUGCCUAGUGUUUUAUUUGAUUUUUUUUUGGGGGGGGGUGGUUUUUUUUUUCUGGUACCGGGAAUCGAACUCAUGACCUUGCGCUUGCCAGGCAGAUGCUGUGCCACUGAGCUAAAUCCGCAGCCCCUGCCUAGUGUUGUAAAUGAGUGGUAUCAAAAUAAAAGUACAUUAAGGGGGAAAAAAGGUAAUUUUAAUUUUUACUGACAGGAUACAAAAAAUAAUAACCUUAUUUUAUUAUUUAUUUUUCGUACUACUAGGAACUGAACCCAAGAC
rnacentral:lncRNA from 1 species